UGAACUUAAGCAUAUCAAUAAGCGGAGGAAAAGAAACCAACCGGGAUUGCCUCAGUAACUGCGAGUGAAGUGGCAAAAGCUCAAAUUUGAAAUCCGGUACCUUUUGGUGCCUGAGUUGUAAUUUGGAGAGACAAAUUUGGUUGAUGGCGCCGGCCUAGGUUCCUUUGAACAGGACAACAUAGAGGGUGAGAAUCCCGUUCCUGGCUGGAUGACCCGUCACAUUUCUAAAUUGUCUUCGACGAGUCGAGUUGUUUGGGAAUGCAGCUCAAAAUGGGUGGUAAAUGUCAUCUAAAGCUAAAUAUUGGCGAGAGACCGAUAGCGCACAAGUAGAGUGAUCGAAAGAUGAAAAGCACUUUGAAAAGAGAGUCAAAAAGUACGUGAAAUUGCUGAAAGGGAAGCGCUUGAGACCAGACUCGAACCGUGAUAAUCAGCCGUGCUUCUGUGCGGUGUCACUUGCCACGGUUUGGGCCAGCAUCGGUUCUGGCGGUCGGAUAAAAGGUGGAGGAAUGUAGCUUCCUUCGGGGAGUGUUAAUUUAGCCUCCACCACAAUGCGGCCAGCUGGGACCGAGGACCGCGCUUCGGCUAGGAUGCUGGCGUAAUGGUCUUAAGCGACCC
rnacentral:rRNA from 1 species